AUUGAACGCUGGCGGCAGGCCUAACACAUGCAAGUCGAGCGGUUGACGGGAGCUUGCUCCCUGAUUCAGCGGCGGACGGGUGAGUAAUGCCUAGGAAUCUGCCUAUUAGUGGGGGACAACGUUUCGAAAGGAACGCUAAUACCGCAUACGUCCUACGGGAGAAAGCAGGGGACCUUCGGGCCUUGCGCUAAUAGAUGAGCCUAGGUCGGAUUAGCUAGUUGGUGAGGUAAUGGCUCACCAAGGCGACGAUCCGUAACUGGUCUGAGAGGAUGAUCAGUCACACUGGAACUGAGACACGGUCCAGACUCCUACGGGGGGCAGCAGUGGGGAAUAUUGGACAAUGGGCGAAAGCCUGAUCCAGCCAUGCCGCGUGUGUGAAGAAGGUCUUCGGAUUGUAAAGCACUUUAUGUUGGGAGGAAGGGUUGUAGAUUAAUACUCUGCAAUUUUGACGUUACCGACAGAAUAAGCACCGGCUAACUCUGUGCCAGCAGCCGCAGUAAAAC
rnacentral:rRNA from 1 species